rnacentral:rRNA from 1 species
CCUACGGGUGGCAGCAGUGAGGAAUAUUGGUCAAUGGACGAGAGUCUGAACCAGCCAAGUAGCGUGAAGGAUGACUGCCCUAUGGGUUGUAAACCUCUUUUAUAUGGGAAUAAAAUGUUCCACGUGUGGGAUUUUGUAUGUACCAUAUGAAUAAGGAUCGGCUAACUCCGUGCCAGCAGCCGCGGUAAUACGGAGGAUCCGAGCGUUAUCCGGAUUUAUUGGGUUUAAAGGGAGCGUAGGUGGAUUGUUAAGUCAGUUGUGAAAGUUUGCGGCUCAACCGUAAAAUUGCAGUUGAAACUGGCAGUCUUGAGUACAGUAGAGGUGGGCGGAAUUCGUGGUGUAGCGGUGAAAUGCUUAGAUAUCACGAAGAACUCCGAUUGCGAAGGCAGUUCACUGGACUGCAACUGACACUGAGGCUCGAAAGUGUGGGUAUCAAACAGGAUUAGAUACCCUUGUAGUC